rnacentral:rRNA from 1 species
UGGGGAAUUUUGGACAAUGGGCGAAAGCCUGAUCCAGCAAUGCCGCGUGUGUGAAGAAGGCCUUCGGGUUGUAAAGCACUUUUGUCCGGAAAGAAAUCCUUGGCUCUAAUACAGUCGGGGGAUGACGGUACCGGAAGAAUAAGCACCGGCUAACUACGUGCCAGCAGCCGCGGUAAUACGUAGGGUGCAAGCGUUAAUCGGAAUUACUGGGCGUAAAGCGUGCGCAGGCGGUUUGCUAAGACCGAUGUGAAAUCCCCGGGCUCAACCUGGGAACUGCAUUGGUGACUGGCAGGCUAGAGUAUGGCAGAGGGGGGUAGAAUUCCACGUGUAGCAGUGAAAUGCGUAGAGAUGUGGAGGAAUACCGAUGGCGAAGGCAGCCCCCUGGGCCAAUACUGACGCUCAUGCACGAAAGCGUGGGGAGCAAAACAGGAUUAGAUACCCUGGUAGUCCACGCCCUAAAACGAUGUCAACUAGUUGUUGGGGAUUCAUUUCCUUAGUAACGUAGCUAACGCGUGAAGUUGACCGCCUGGGGAGUACGGUCGCAAGAUUAAAACUUAAAUGAAUUGACGGGG